rnacentral:rRNA from 1 species
AUUGAACGCUGGCGGCAGGCCUAACACAUGCAAGUCGAGCGAGCGGCGGACGGGUGAGUAAUGUCUGGGAACCUGCCAGAUGGAGGUGGAUAACUACUGGAAACGGUAGCUAAUACCGCAUACCAUCAGAUGUGCCCAGGGGGGAUUAGGUAGUAGGGGGGGUAACGGCUCACCUAGGCGACCAUCCCUAGCUGGUCUGAGAGGAUGACCAGCCACACUGGAACUGAGACACGGUCCAGACUCCUACGGGAGGCAGCAGUGGGGAAUAUUGCACAAUGGGCGCAAGCCUGAUGCAGCCAUGCCGCGUGUGUGAAGAAGGCCUUCGGGUUGUAAAGCACUUUCAGCGGGGAGGCGUUACCCGCAGAAGAAGCACCGGCUAACUCCGUGCCAGCAGCCGCGGUAAUUC